GCUGCUGUAGCUUCAGUGGUAGAGCAGCCGACUUGUAAUCGGCAGGGCGUUGGUUCAAAUCCAACCUGCAGCUCCA
rnacentral:tRNA from 1 species